rnacentral:tRNA from 2 species
GUGGUCGAAGCCGAAGGAGACGAGGCGCGAGGCCGUGAACCUCGAGGAAGUGGGUGCGAGUCCCAUCGAUCACCCCA